rnacentral:rRNA from 1 species
GAGUAACACGUGGGUAACCUGCCUGUAAGACUGGGAUAACAUUCGGAAACGAAUGCUAAUACCGGAUACGCGAUWUGRUCGCAUGAUCGAAUCGGGAAAGAUGGAGCAAUCUAUCACUUACAGAUGGACCCGCGGCGCAUUAGCUAGUUGGUGAGGUAACGGCUCACCAAGGCGACGAUGCGUAGCCGACCUGAGAGGGUGAUCGGCCACACUGGGACUGAGACACGGCCCAGACUCCUACGGGAGGCAGCAGUAGGGAAUCUUCCGCAAUGGACGAAAGUCUGACGGAGCAACGCCGCGUGAGUGAUGAAGGUUUUCGGAUCGUAAAGCUCUGUUGCCAGGGAAGAAUGCUUGGGAGAGUAACUGCUCCCAAGGUGACGGUACCUGAGAAGAAAGCCCCGGCUAACUACGUGCCAGCAGCCGCGGUAAUACGUAGGGGGCAAGCGUUGUCCGGAAUUAUUGGGCGUAAAGCGCGCGCAGGCGGCCUUGUAAGUCUGUUGUUUAAACUUGGGGCUCAACCCCAAGUCGCAAUGGAAACUGCAAAGCUUGAGUACAGAAGAGGAAAGUGGAAUUCCACGUGUAGCGGUGAAAUGCGUAGAGAUGUGGAGGAACACCAGUGGCGAAGGCGACUUUCUGGGCUGUAACUGACGCUGAGGCGCGAAAGCGUGGGGAGCAAACAGGAUUAGAUACCC